AUAUGCCAUUGCCUCGCGAGUUGGUCUUUAAAAGCCUCAAAUCUAGACACAAAUAGUUCGAUAUAAUCAACACAAGCUAUAGGAAUCAAUUCCAAAUGAUAAAGAACGGAUCUUUAAUUAUAACCCCGGAGUCAACCAACUUGAAACUUACGGAAACAUUAUGGAAUUCAAUUUCAAGAGAGAAGUUUAGCCAAUAUACUUGAAAUUUGCUCCUUGAUGAUACUACAACGAUCCACUAUAUUAAUCAACUUCAAUCUGCAAUAUCGACAUCCAAUAGAACCAACAUUAGAAACAAUACCAUAGUUUAGGCCAUAUAGGCAUUUUAUCAAACACCUAGAGUGCAUAACAUUCUACUACCUCUAGUAAUAGUGUUUCUUACUCCAGCAAUCCUCCUUACCAUUUCCGAGCCUGAAGGUGAUGAAGGCUCUGAGGACUCUAAGGGAUUUAAAGGCUUCGACGGUUCUGGCGACGAAUCAGACCCUAGUGAUGAUCAGGCAUGAAUGCCUUAGAACUUUUUUUAGUUUUGUCGUGUGUAUAUUUUUUUAUUAUUUUGAUGCCGUUUUUGUUAGGCCAUUGUAAAUACAUUCCGAAAUAUAUAAAAAAAUUUCCUUUCUGGCCAUUUCGAGCCUCUACUUUUUUAGCGUAUUUUCAUAAUUUCUAAUCACAACAAGAGAUAUUACAACACCCUUAGUCUACUAAUUGCUUUCAUUAGCACCAUUACAAUAAUCAAUAAACUCACAUCCACCCAAUUUUAUUAGUCAACUCAUUACAAAAAUUUCUAAACACACAAAAAUUUAGUUAAGCAUUUAUGGCUUCCAAGCACCAUACAAUACAUUCUAAUACUUAAUUCUACUCUUAUAUUCAUUAACAAUCCAUGCAUAUAGGUUUAAGAGUGAACGAUUACCUCUUGAAGACCAAAUCUUGAAAGACAACUUUUGGGGUGUUCUUGGGAUAUUGGACUAAUUCCUAUGGAUUUCAACCCAUAUAGAGGUUAAUACUAGCAUCAAUCAAUGUUAAUCCACCAUAAAAUAUCAUGAAACUUGCCUUUGAUGUAUUUGGUUUAGAGGAUCGAUGCUCCACCUUCUUCCUAGAACCGAAGACUUAGCCAAAAAUACCAAAUGUUUCUCUCUCUCUCUGAGCGCCUUAUUUUAAAGCACAAGGGGUCUGCAUGGGCAUGUAACCUAGCCACACGACUUGAGAUCCCUUCCGUCCUUAUUCUAGAGUAGGCCACACAGCCUGCAUGGGCCACACAUCUUGGCCACACGGGGCUUCAUUAAUGCGCCAAGUUCAAUUUCCAUCUGAACCCCGUCCGAAACUCAUCCGAGCCACUUGGGACCUCGUUCAAAUAUACCAAAAAGUCCUGUAACAUAAUAGGGACUUGCUCGAGGUCCGAAAUUACAUCAAACAACGUCAAAAUUAUAAAUUGUACCUUGAAUCGAGCUUAUACAUUUUGAAAUUUGCAAAUUUCAUAUCUUGUGACGAAACGUACCAACUCAAUCUGGAAUAACAUCAAAUUUUGCACACAAGCCAUAAAUGACAUAAGGAAGCUAUCUUAAUUUUCAGAAUCGAAUUUUGACCCUGAUAUCAAAAAGUCAACUACCCGCCAAACUUCUAAAUUUUCAAUUUCUUAUUUUCGUCAUUUCUUGCCAAAUUUAACUAAGGACCUAAAAAUAAAUAUCUGAACGCACUCCUAAGUUUGAAAUUACCAUAUAGAACUAUUGGAACCAUUAAAUCCGAUUCCGGGUCUUUUACACAUAAUUCACUAUCAGAUCAAUUGUUUCAACUUAAGCUUUAAAUCUUGAAACUAAGUGUUCCAAUUCAUUUUAAAACCUCCCGACAAGUCACAUAAUUAUAACUGAACACAGAAUAAGCAGUAAAUGGAGAAACGUGGUUGUAAUACUCGAAACGACCGGCCGAGACGUUACACUAACAACAUUAUCAGGGGCUCUCUAGCAGACAUGGGAAGCCAACAAUUACUACUGACGAGAUUUCACAAUUUGAACAACUAUCUUAUUAAGUGUUGACUAUCACAAACCCUAAUUUUAAUUGAUAACAACAUAUAAACUUCAUUGCUAAUGACUAAAUCGUGCAAACGAUUAAUUUUAUAUAGAUUUGUAGGAAAUUUUUAAAUAGACAGAUUUUAUAUCAUUGUUUAACAUGAUACAUGCAGUAGUUCAACUUAUAACACCAACUUAUAUUCCAACCAGCAAUCAAACAAAACACAACUUGAUGAAUAUCAAACAAAUUAACAGUACUGGAACACAACAAGCAGUCAACAAUUUUAUGCUUCAAACAAACUGAAAUUUACAUCACUUGAUCGAGAAAGGAUACCGGCUUAAAACAGAAUAAAAAGAAGAAAAUAAAUCUCUGGCUUUGAAGAAUAAGUAACAACCAAAACCAAAGAGCUCGGCUACAGAUUAAUAGGCAACAACAAACAACAAUUUUCGAAUUUAAAGCAACUCUCUAACUACGAGAGAAUAUGUAACAAAGAAUUUAAAUUGAAAAUAAUCUCUGAAUUUGCUUUAUUUUGAACCUUUCUUUCAUUUUUUCUUUUGGAAUCUUUUUUCUAUUUUGGUUUUCUUUCUUCUCAAAUUUGGAUUGAAAUUCCCAAAUUUCUAGCUACUAAUGUGUGAAAGUGAGAGGAAUGUAUAUUAUUUGAAAAGGCAGAAUAAAAAGUGUCUGUGAUACGCAAAAAUGAGAGGAUAUAUAGAAAAGGUGUCAGUGUGAAAAUGGAAAAAAGGCAUCUUUCCCAAAUAGAAUUUUGGUACUGCUGUCUUCCAGAUAUUCUUUCCUUUCUUUUUAAUCCUUUUUUUUCUAUUUUACUCCCUAAGUCUCUUACACCAGGCCAUUUCUUUUCUAUUCUAGAACUUUCUCUAGGCAACUAUAUAAGAUUCCUUCUUUAUUUCUAAAUUGAAACUUAAACUCUUACUAUUCCCUCCCCCCCCCCUUUCACAAGGCCAUUUCUUUUCUAUUCUAGAACUUUCUCUAGGCAACUAUAUAAGAUUCCUUACUUAUUUCUAAAUUGAAACUUAAACUCUUACUACUCCCCCCUCCCCCCCGACCCCGAUUUUCAACAACAUCAAGAGUCAUGUGACAUGAAAGUCAAAUCCUAACAGACUUCACUCGACCUCUUCUCAUCCAGUAAACCAAUUUUAAAGUCUAACAGGCCUAUCUAUUACACAAAGCAGUCCCAAUCUUUUGUUAAACUCAAACACACUGAAAAUGGGGUCUAUGCUCCAAUCAAAACUUAAAUGGAAAUCAAUAUCAAAGACAACAACUAUUUUUAUUCUAAUUUAAAAAUUAAAAUUAAAUCGAAUUAAUGAAUUUACUAACUAAUAUGACACCACAUUAAUAAACAACCACCAAUUUAAUCAACAAUUAACAGGAUUCAACACAACAUAAUCAAAACUAAUUAAACAAAAACCUCAAUUAAUCAGAAACAAACUACUAAUUAAUCUACCCUUAAACACGUAAUGCAAUCAUCCAAAAAAUGAAUGGCUACCAAUCAAACAGUAAAUCAGAUAGUUAAAUAAAAAUGAAGGAUGAAGAAGAGGAUAAAUGAGUUACCACUCGAGAUAACUUGAGAAAAACCCAAGAUUCAAUGCCAACAUCGGAGUUUCAAUACUAAUUAGUAACAACUUUUGCCCGAUAAACACUUAUCCGGACUCUCGAUGUCCGAUAAGUAUUUCAUUGGGCAAAGCACGUUGAGGUUCAACGGAUCUUGACAUAGAUGAAGGAUUCCAGUGAAAGAGAUUCUGAGUAUCAUGUUUUACCUGAAAUGACAUUAUGACAAAAAUCAAAAGGUCUUGAAGGGACCAAUUAAUCAACGUAAAGUUCAUGGUCAUAGGGGCUCUGGCUUAGUUGGGAAUUGAAAGAAAAAAAGAGAGCCUAGGGUUGGGGGGGAGGUCUGUUAGGAUAGUAUUAUGGGAUUAGAUGGUGGAGCU
rnacentral:lncRNA from 1 species